ACAGACAUGAUGUUCUCAGUGGAAACGUUUUGCUCAGGUCUGCCAUAAUGUCAUCCAAAGAUCUGGUGUAAGCGAGGCUGAAGACAACAUUCCCAUUUCCUACGUCAGCUGACCUCAACAUGUGCCACGUGAUAUGCGCGCGCAGCUCUUCUUCACUCCCCUCACCGAAAAGGUCUGAUGCGUAAAGGAUACCUUUCUUGCACCUGUAGUAGCUUCCUGCAGACAGGACCUUCAGGGGAGCAAACAAAGGAAAACUAGUCAAACUGUGCUCACGGAAUAAGACAGUUUGCGAACCUUAACGCAGUAAUGGACUGUUCAAGACCUUGAUCAUACAUAAAUAUCAGUUGAUACAUUCGAAAUAUCUACGUUCUUGACUGGUAGCCACGAACGCCUGGUCCUUCUACAAGAGACGGGUAGGUGGCAGGGAGAUAAUCGGUGCCGUCAUGGACAUCAUCGUCUAUCGCCACGACUGAGUCUCGGUCAGCCAGCGAUGCCACACAAACUUCUUCAUCUGAUGGAAUCUGCUCCAUGUCACUGACAGCCGUGUCUGUCGAUAGGGAAUGUUCUCGAGCUGGGAUGUGAAAACACAGAUCCUAUCAAAGGUAAACGAGACACUGUCGAUCCUCAAGCCUACUAGCGGCGAUGAAGUGAUCACACUGGAAAACACGAUUUCUAUCCUUGCGACAGCUGUUACUGGUGGUAGGGGAGGUAAUAAAGGCGUGACGGUCGAGUUGGACACAGAGUCGCCUCGCUUCAGUCCCAACAACAACCAGCAUCUGAAAAUUAAUUAUUAGCUGCUGUACUAACACUAACCUAUGAAAAUGACAGGCUUCAGCAGUACAGUCGUUGGGAGUGAGUGAGAGUUUUCACAGGACGAGGGCGAGACUGUAGAUACACCUGUAACUGGCUGGUUUCAGACAAUGUUACUCUUUUGAAAUAAGUAUUCCAUACAAAGAGAAAACUCUAACUCUUGUUGGUGCUGCGGUGUAUGUGCCACUUGAAAACUCAGUUUAAGAUAGCAGAUGAGCUUUUCGGGAAACUAAAGAAACGUGAGCUAAUUAGGACAAUGAAUGUGUACUGCGACUUGGAAAUUUUAAUGUUAGAACAGGAAUUACACCUGACCUUAUUUACAUAUAUAUAUAUUCAUCUCGUGCGCCAUUGAGAGUAUACGAGUUGUGUGUGUAUAUCAAUAUCAUUGAGAAUAA